rnacentral:lncRNA from 1 species
ACAGCUCGAAAGAACACUUCUCAGAGGUGAGAAUCAGGUUCGGUUUCAAUUUAAUUAUUUAGUAUAACCAAAACUAAGGGGCGUGAAUUACAGAUUAAUCAUUGUUUUAUUAUUUGUUGAUUAUGAUGGUGUUUCUCGAUUCUGAGGUGAUUGAACUACUUGUGCAAUUUCUUUUCAAACAAAUGCUAAUUAGCCAAAAUUAUUUUAUUUGAUUGAGAAAUAGCUGAGAAUUGGGGAGAAAUCAAAUAACCGAUAAGAUUAAUAGCAAUGAAUUAAUGGGUUAAUUUGAUUGGACCCUAUUUGGAGUGGUUUGGCAUUACUCACUGGGUUCAAAAGCUUAGCAUCUUGCUAUGUAGUAACCAAUCCAGUCUUGUAGUUGUGGCUUUGGCGCAAGAGGUGUUUGAUAAAAUAUCUCAGGGUGUAAGAAUUAUUCCGUAACUUUAUUUAAAAUAAUUGAGUAAGAUGAUUUCUAAAAGGUCACAACAACAAUACCAGAAGAUAGCUAAAAAGCAACAUUAAGGAUGUCCUAGCAACAUAAAAAAGGGAAGUAGUUGUGGCAAAACAAGAAUUGCAAAACAAUGGUCCUACAAGAAUCAUAAACUGGUAUAUGACCAAGAGAUUUUUACAUUAAUUAUUUCCAACAUACCUUACAUUUUUUUUUAUAUGCUACAAGUUAGUAAAUGAAGUAAUAAGUUAAAUAAAGAGUGAAAGCUUCAAUGAUCUUGUUCCUGCUAGAUAUAUUUUAUUUAUUUAUUUAUUUUUAUCUCGUUUCCAAGUCAAACUGGGCUGGCACCAUACAAACUCGAAACUACACAUAUGCUUGGAAUCCCUGUACAUUUUUCCUUUUUUUUUCUUAUUUCAAAAUUAUAUGUCUUGUUUAUAAAGAGUUGACCAGGAAAAUUUUAGUGGCAAGAAAUUUGCUAUUAACAAAUGUAAGGAAGGGAUUAAAGGGAGAAGCUAUAAAGAAAAAGCUUGUGGUUGUUCUUCGGGAUUCACUUCGAACCUGCAUGGAUAUCAUGAAUCCAUUAAAUUUACAUUCAUGGGAAGAAGAGAAUCAAAGCCAAGACUGUGAUCCUCAAGAAACCACUCUCCGCAAAGACUCCAAUCAGGUGCAUUUGUUUUAAACUUCAGUUCCUCAAGUAAUAUUUUCACUUAAAGUUUGCCUUUUGAUUUGAGACAUGAAAUUAAAAUACUGAUUGGUCAUUUAUUGAUAAAAAUUUGGUAAAAGAUAAAAUUUUUGUAAAACUCUGGCUGUAUAGCCUUUUAUCAAUCUUAAUUUUGCAUGUAAAUCGUAAGAGCUAUAGUCACAAAAGGUCUAGUAUGAUAUCUUUGAGAGUAUAACUAUUUUUUAGAACUGAUUUAUGUUUGCAACACUGAUAUUACCAAAAAUGCAUGAAAUGAAGCUACCUUUAAUUUUAUGAUAAUUGCUUGUUGAACAUGCCGUGUGGUUAUCCUUGCAAGUUACUGCAUAUACAAGUUAGUAUAUGCUUACUACAUGUUGAUGAAAUAGCUGAGAGGAGUUAAUAGACAACAAAGUACCAUCUCAGGUGCAUUUGUUCUAGAUUUUAACUCCAUCGAUUAUAUUUUCACUUAAAGGCUAUUGGUUAGUUGUUUUGAAAUCUCUACUAGACUAAUUUAUAAUAUUGGUUGGUCAAUUUAUUUUCCUUGUUUUGAUAAAAAUGGGUAAACUCUAGCUCUGCAAUUUUUAUCAAUAUUGUUUUUGCAUCAGAGCUGUAUUAACAAAAGGCUCAACAUGAUAUCUGAAAGAUGGUCAUUUUAAAGAACCGAUUUAGACUACUAAUCUAAAUCCUAAAUGCGUGAAAUUAUAUUGUCUUUAACAAUAUAGUAACUGAAUGUUUGGAACUUGUGUUAGGCAAUAUAGCCAUUAUAUAUUGCGGUUAAACAUGUAAAUUUGUUUGCUUAAGAGAACUUUGCCAUAAGCCAAGGACAAAAAUCCAGGUUCUAUUUCAAUUUAUUUAAUAUAAGCAUGAAACUAUUUGAAGAGCUAUAUAUAUAUAUUUGCUCAACUACUACUUUCGCAUGGGAAAAUAUUAAAUAUUAGCUAUAUUUGUUUUCUUGAAACGAUGGCUCUAGUUCACAUUGCAUAAUUUCCAAUAACUGUUGAAAACUGUUAGAAGUAUGAAAAGGAAAUAGCACAAAUUUGUUAAGGCCAAGUGUUGGCCAUGGCUGAUUUUAAUCGUGUCUUCGAUCACAAAAUCCUCAUAGUCGACUAAGGAUAGAAAAACUCAUUGUUUAUAUAUGGUUUGACUUUAAAGCAUUUUCUUAACAAGGCUGAAAUUUCUUUCUAGUUUUACUGCUAUUUCUUGGGUUAUGUUACAACAUGAAUUAUACUACGAGGUGUUGCCGUAAAGUUUUGGAUGCAAAGCUAAGCUCACGAGUUGUUGGUGAAAUGACUUUUCUUAUCAAAAAUAUCAAAUACUACAAGCCCUUUGAUCAUGUGCAUUUGUUCUAAUUCUUAAUUUCGUAGAUUAUCUUUCAAAGUCAAGUUACUACUUAAGCUUGAAAUGCCUACUAGUUUCGGUUUUUAUUCAUUGUGAUAAUGCAUGUGUAAAUUUAUUAGUCUCAAACGCACCAACAACAUGAUCAAAUGCUAUUCAUCCUUGGACAAUGUGCUAUAAAUCUUUGUUAGGAGCAAGUUUGAUCUUUAAAGCAAAAUUAUAUUUUUCAAAGGUAAAAAAUACCAUGAGGAAAUAGUGAACUUCAUGGUGAUAUGCUUAUUAUCUACCAAUUCACUAACCAUGAUUUAUUAGUUUAAUUUUGUUAAGCUUACUUCAAGGUUGCGCCUAAAAUUCUAUCCAACUAUCAAUUGGGUGUGCUUUGUCCAAAGUAUUGCAAUUGUCUACUAUCACGUCUGUAGGCUAUACAAAUUUCAUGGUAUUUCUUAUCGAAUACUUUUGAAAAGUCAAAUGGAAUCAGUUAGGGUGAGGGAGACAAUGUCACAUAGUGUUUGAAUAUUUUGUGAAUUAUCUAUUUACAGGGUACAUCUACUUAUGAUAUUUGUUAAUAAUUGCCUCUAUCUAAAGUUCUAAGAAUUGGUUAUGAAGCAUAAGUUUUCGGAAUUGGAGAUGUCAUUGUUUAUAAAGCAUCCCCAUUCCUCAAUUAACUUUUCUGGGAUUGCAUAUUUUACUGAUAUUACUUAAAUUAAAUGCUUGAAAUGAAGCUACCGUUAAUUUUAUGAUAGUUGAUAAAAGUUCUGGAAUUUAUUGAACCUGUCGUGUGGUUG